UACGAACUGUGCAAACGUUAUUCGGAAUCACUGGGCUUAAAGGGUGCGUAGGCGGCUAUGAAGGUCAGGUGUGAAAUCCCACGGCUCAACCGUGGAACUGCGCUUGAAACCGCAUAGCUUGAGGGAGUCAGAGGUAAGCGGAACUGAUGGUGGAGCGGUGAAAUGCGUUGAUAUUAUCAGGAACACCGGUGGCGAAAGCGGCUUACUGGGACUCUUCUGACGCUGAGGCACGAAAGCCAGGGGAGCAAACGGG
rnacentral:rRNA from 1 species